UGCGUUGCUGUCUAUGCAGGGUCAGAAAGAUGGACCCUGAUGUGUUCUGAAGACGAACGAAGGUCAUACAGGUUUGGAACGACAUGAGGGUGGUGGACAUGCAAGUCAAACACUCAGACGCUCCAUCACGCUUCCACUUGAUGGGUAACAGGUGAUAAUGGAAGCUGAUCCUGAUACUGGAAAGUCAUUAAAGUCUCAUCUUUAUGUGGAGAAAGUGAUUUACAUGAGGCAGCCAGGCAUGCUGAACGCUCCCGCUGAAUGAGCUACAGUGUGACUGCCAGCCCAGCAUCACUAAAAUCCCAGAUGGACUCCAGUGCCGCUGUCAGGAAGGGUGGAAGAACAGCUGUGACUGUACAAAAAAUGUGUCCAGAUGGACGUGGAUCUCGUAAC